rnacentral:rRNA from 1 species
AGUGAACGCUGGCGGUAGGCCUAACACAUGCAAGUCGAACGGCAGCACAGUAAGAGCUUGCUCUUACGGGUGGCGAGUGGCGGACGGGUGAGGAAUACAUCGGAAUCUACUUUUUCGUGGGGGAUAACGUAGGGAAACUUACGCUAAUACCGCAUACGACGUACGGGUGAAAGCAGGGGAUCUUCGGACCUUGCGUGAUUGAAUGAGCCGAUGUCGGAUUAGCUAGUUGGCGGGGUAAAGGCCCACCAAGGCGACGAUCCGUAGCUGGUCUGAGAGGAUGAUCAGCCACACUGGAACUGAGACACGGUCCAGACUCCUACGGGAGGCAGCAGUGGGGAAUAUUGGACAAUGGGCGCAAGCCUGAUCCAGCCAUACCGCGUGGGUGAAGAAGGCCUUCGGGUUGUAAAGCCCUUUUGUUGGGAAAGAAAAGCAGCAGGUUAAUACCCCGCUGUUCUGACGGUACCCAAAGAAUAAGCACCGGCUAACUUCGUG